AGACCCGUUAGUUACAAGCACACAGCCGAACCUCCCUCUUGCCACCUUUUUCCCCUCAACCUAUCCCUGUAUUCAUUUUCAUCUUGUAUGUGUCCAUCCAUAAUAUUAAAGCCAAGGCCCUGUUCUGAGGGUCGACGGAAUAUGAUAGUGAAAAUAUAGGGAUUGAUUUAACUGAUGUUCUGUAGGACUAUGAAUGCGUUUUAAAGUCUAGGAAUGAGAGAGGGACAAUCCUCUGGAGUUACCAUACUGUAUCUUACCUAAAGCCUAUGUCUCCCACUGUGUUAAUUUUUUAAUGAGAAACGGGGAAGUGAGCUGAUGUGGGCUGUGCCUUUGUAUAAUGAACAUUUUGUAAAUGAGUUAUGGAAAUGGACAUUAUAUAAAGCAGCUGAGUGAGCCUCCCUUCUGCUUUCCAAUCGGAGGGCUGCCCAGAGGUCAGCCUAAAGGAUUAGGGAAGUGUACAGCUGUGAGAUCCCCUCUGCCUGUGAACCUGAACAGAACACCACAUCAUAUAUCUUUGUCUGGUUGAUGUCAUGUGCCUGUUUGUCUGAAAUGAAUGUGUUAAUGUUGCUGUCUUGGUCCAGGUCUCUCUUGAAAAUGUGAUUUUUAUCUCAAUGAGACUAACCUGGUUAAAUAAGGGUGAUAUAAAUAUACACCAAAUCAGCAGUCCUCGUUGUGGUUGGACACUGUCUCGGAGAACAGUGGAGAGAUAUGUGACAGAUGGUGGCUGGUAGGGGUGCCGAGGGGACAGCGGAGGGGCCCAAGGCAGACUUGGCAGUACCCCCAGUACCCAGUGUUCUUUCCUGCGACUCCUGCACCCCUGCACUACCAUUCACCAUUACUGCUCUGUCCUGUCCUCAUCAGCCUCUGUGAUAGGAAUCUCCCCAAGCACUUUAUAAAACCCAAUAAACCUGGGAGCUUUCUUCCAUUUUAACUGCAGUGUUCAGUGCCCACCUGUUGCAUCUCUGCAGUGGCUGUAGACCUGUGCCAGUUUAACUAUGCAGUGAUGACAUCCCACUGGGUGUAACAGUAUAACUUUAAACCGUCCCCUCGCCCCGACACGGGCGCGAACCAGGGACCCUCUGCACACAUCAACGACGGUCGCUAACUAGCUAGCCAUUUCACAUCCGUUACACUCACCCCCCUUUCAACCUCCUCCUUUUCCGCAGCAACCAGUGAUCCGGGUCAACAGCAUCAAUGUAACAGUAUAACUUUACACCGUCCCCUCGCCCCGACACGGGCGCGAACCAGGGACCCUCUGCACACAUCAACAACGGUUGCUCACGAAGCACGGUCGUUACCCAUCGCUCCACAAAGGCCACGGCUCUUGCAGAGCAAGGGGCAACACUACUUAAGUCUCAGAGCAAGUGACGUAACUGAUUGAAAUGCUACUAGCGCGUACCCGCUAACUAGCUAGCCAUUUCACAUCCGUUACAUGGGCACACACUGGUUGUAUCAAAGUUGUUGCCACGUCAUUUCACUGAAAUGUCCCCACUGGGAUAGCUGUGGAUAAUGUAUAUAAGUGAGACCGAUGUAUACAAACACAGUGUCACCCACAAGCCAAAUGAGGGAAUUAAGUUGUCAGCACAAAUCUUAUGUUAUACCACCCCUGCUGACAUUAUCUGCAAUUACGGAGCCACCAAUUACAUCGCACUAAAUCAUUGAGCCACCCACCAUGACCAGACUAUCCCAAAUGACCAGACCGCUGCUAUGAAGGCCCCAAACUGUUGAGCUAGCAAUUAAAUGAUUUUGCUCCUGUCAUAAGAAACCCCAUUGCUGUUAACAUUAGUUUUUUGUUGUUGUUGUGCCAGGCAGGCAGAAUCUCACAUUCACCUCAGAUUGUCUCCCAGUAGACUAGUGUGUGUAGGUGGCAGCCUCCCCAGUAGUUCUGUGCUGUGCUGUCUCCCAUGCACCCAGGGGAGUAGGGCCACAGACUUGUCAAAUGGCAGGGCUGUAAUGAGAUGUAAUGCCUCUCUCUCUCUCUCUCUCUCUCAUAUAUAUAUAUAUAUAUAUCUCUCUGUCUCUCUCUCUAUCUCUCUCUGUCUCUCUAUCUCUUUCCUAAAGUGAACACUGACCUCCCAGUUGUGCUGCGGUGAUCAGAGCAGAUCUGAUCCCUGCUGCACUCGGCUGCUCUGAACAAAGAUAGUGCUUCAAAGUGCAUUUUUAGAGUGUGACUUCCUCAUUUAAUCAGCACUCGUUGUGAUUUAAAGGGAGAGGAGGAGGAGAGAGGAGUGACUGCAUGGGAUUUGAUUUAUAACAGCCAACUUCCAUGUCAUCGCUUUGAAUUACAGGACUUUUUUUUUAAGUACAAUGUAAAAUAGAUUUUUUUUUUUUUUGAAACCAACGAAGUGGAAUAAAAGGGUUUAAGAUGGAGAGAUUUAAGAUCAAAAGUCUGGCUGAGACAUCACUUCACACAGAUAAUUGCCCUGAUCUCACUGUACAGUAGAGUUAAUGAAAACAAGAGACCAAUUCAUCAUGGGCAUCUCUGAGCGGUCCUUUUCAGGUUCCUUAGAGAGCUUAGUCAGAAGAAACCUGCGGGAGGGAACAGUAAUGUCUCUUACAAUAAACAACAAACCAAAAAAACGCUCGUUUUUUAUUGCACAGUAUGGGGUCAUAAGUAUCUGCUGGCAAUAACUCAAGAUGACGCUAACAAGUUAGUAUGAUACAUCCCCACUAUAUGUAGUUACUUUAAUACUAUUCUGAAGCAACAUUCAUAUGAACUAGGUGAGUAAUCCCAGUUAGCUAUAAUAGGAAUUUCUCCUACCCUUGUGCCGGCUGUGUGCUUUGAUGUGGGACUGGUUAAGGCUCAGGUGCCCACUGUCUACGGCUCGAAUUAUGUGCCUGAACUGACUAACACAACUCCUACCCAUCAACUGCUUAUUGACCAUGGACGCCCCUUGACCACCAUGGAUGAUGGUCCUCCUACACACGACAAGACGUCAUCACAGCCUCAAGCCCAGGCAGCAAGAAAUAGUCCGGCCGUUGCUGGGGAAAUGGACGAGUCACUCCUACGAGAGGAGAAUUGUAGGAGCAAGGAGCAGCUGGACUCCCAGGAAUUGCCCAUCCUUCCUCGGCCCCCAGGAACAUAUUGGCUCAUUAAAGCAGACUUCCUGUAUCCUCAGUACAGCAGAGACAGUAUGGGUGACUAGGGACUGUGACUUUUAUAAAAGCACCUAUAGGGAACACAUAAAGACUACAUGGGGGCUAGGAGGGAUAUUAUGGAAGAGGUGGGACUUAUUCAUGACUUCAACAAAUAACACCAUAUCUUAUCCAAGGUUUCUUGUAGUUCACUUUAUUUGGAAUGUGCUGUGACUCAUAACACUGAAAGAACAUAGGAAGUGAAAUGACACUAGGAAAAGAGCAACUUCCUUCUGGAGUCCUGUACGUCUUGUUUUGAAAUGGAUUUCUGACAGCGAUUCACACAUUCAUUGCGAUGAAUGAAUGGAUAUACAUCCACUUCGUUGACUCUGGACACUUGGAUUCUACUUUUCUGUGCAUCCAGUUGCAGGGUUGUACGUUCUGAUGCCUCCCUGUCGGUGUCAGGGUUUCCGCUAUGAAAUACUGAUUAUCAAAAGGCUAUUGGCUAAAUGCAGUCACUGUGUUAGUUAAAUUCAUUCACAAUGUUCAUUCACAAAAGCAUUCUAUAACAGUUACUUCAUACAAAAUACUGCACAGAGUCACAUUACUGCAAUGUGUUUUAAAUUACAUUUCUAGGGAGGGGGGUGGUACUUAUUGUCUUGACUUUCCAUAAAUAUAUGGCCUACAUUCCUUGUUUAUACAAGGAAGUGAAACAUUAGGGUUUUCUUUUGAUUUCACUGUGUGUAAUCAUGAUUGCAGUGUACAGUAUAAGCACUAUGAAAGUUAUUGAAACCCGUUUUUAUUUUGAACCUGAUAUUUGAUGCUCGUUAUUAGAUUGUUCCCAUGCUAGAUUAACCAAAACACACACACACACACACACACACACACACACACAUUGUGGCUUGCAUUACAGGAGCCAGGAUUCAAUACGUGUACCUUAUAAGGAUAAUGGUUGUGUACACGUUAGUAAAUUAGACCAGUUGUUCAUAUGUUAGUCCCAACAUCCAAGCCAUGUGUGCAUGCUCAUCGGAAAGCCAUCUUAAUAUGGAAAACACUUAAAUGCAGCUGGUGUGAGACCACAUGACAGUUCAACAAUGAUCAUUUUCUUGUGUUUUCAAUUUCUGUUGUGAUAUUUUGAUUUAGUAUAAGCUUAGCUUGUUUGCAUGUGUUGGAUUACUUUCAUCCCAACAUUUUGUUAGUUGACUACUCUGCAAGCUGCGUUCCAGUAAGGGAUAAAUAAUGUCAAAUUCAUGAUCUUAUUUGAUGGAAUAUUGAUUGAAUGAUGAAUUACUUUGUACAUGAACAAAUAUGUAGAACUAAUGUUUAUUCGUUUGAGGAAUAUUUUUUGUAAACUUUUUAUCGAUCGUGUACUUUUUCCCCAAUGUUUUAGUAAUUCAGUCAGCGCAGAAACAUUGCUGCUACAAGUCUUGAUGUAUUUAUUUGAUAUUUUCACACACUUGCAAGCGAACAGAAAAGCUUAGAAGUAAACGUGUUUUUACCUGCAUAAUUAAAAAUCAAUAUUGUCUGUUAACCUCAUGAUUUACCAUCCUUUAUAAUUCAAUUAAAUUGAUAAGAAUGUGAAAAUGA